AUGAAGACAUUAGCAGCCUUCAAGGAAGGGAAAAUAGAUGUUCUAAUUGGCUCAGAUAUAAUGGCUCGAGGAAUACAUAUUGAUGGUUUAAAAUGUUAUCAACUACGAGAUGCUGCAGUAUGUGAAAACAUACAUCCACCAAGCAGGCCGGACAGCCAGGGCAGGCGAAUCUGGUUCUUGCUUCAUGUUUUUGAGGAAAAAUGA
rnacentral:rRNA from 1 species